rnacentral:rRNA from 1 species
UACGUAGGGGGCAAGCGUUGUCCGGAUUUAUUGGGCGUAAAGAGCGUGUAGGCGGUUAGGUCGGUCCGUUGUGAAAACUCGAGGCUCAACCUCGAGACGCCGAUGGAAACCAUCUGACUAGAGUCCGGAAGAGGAGAGUGGAAUUCCUGGUGUAGCGGUGAAAUGCGCAGAUAUCAGGAAGAACACCCGUGGCUAAGGCGGCUCUCUAGUACGUGACUGACGCUGAGACGCGAAAGCUAGGGGAGCAAACAGG